rnacentral:rRNA from 1 species
UACGAAGGGGGCUAGCGUUGUUCGGAAUUACUGGGCGUAAAGGGCGCGUAGGCGGCGUGUCAAGUCAGGCGUGAAAGCCCCGGGCUCAACCUGGGAACCGCGCUUGAGACUGGCAUGCUCGAGUUCGGGAGAGGAUGGUGGAAUUCCCAGUGUAGAGGUGAAAUUCGUAGAUAUUGGGAAGAACACCGAUGGCGAAGGCAGCCAUCUGGACCGACACUGACGCUGAGGCGCGAAAGCUAGGGGAGCGAACAGG